CAACCCUGGUGGCGAGUGGCGAACGGGUGAGUAACAUAUCGGAACGUGCCCUGGAGUGGGGGAUAACUAGUCGAAAGAUUAGCUAAUACCGCAUACGAUCUACGGAUGAAAGUGGGGGAUCGCAAGACCUCAUGCUCGUGGAGCGGCCGAUAUCUGAUUAGCUAGUUGGUGGGGUAAAGGCCUACCAAGGCAUCGAUCAGUAGCUGGUCUGAGAGGACGACCAGCCACACUGGGACUGAGACACGGCCCAGACUCCUACGGGAGGCAGCAGUGGGGAAUUUUGGACAAUGGGCGCAAGCCUGAUCCAGCAAUGCCGCGUGAGUGAAGAAGGCCUUCGGGUUGUAAAGCUCUUUUGUCAGGGAAGAAACGGUGAGGGCUAAUAUCCCUUGCUAAUGACGGUACCUGAAGAAUAAGCACCGGCUAACUACGUGCCAGCAGCCGCGGUAAUACGUAGGGUGCAAGCGUUAAUCGGAAUUACUGGGCGUAAAGCGUGCGCAGGCGGUUGUGCAAGACCGAUGUGAAAUCCCCGGGCUUAACCUGGGAAUGGCAUUGGUGACUGCACGGCUAGAGUGUGUC
rnacentral:rRNA from 1 species